UUUUUUUUUUUUUUUUUUUUUUUUUUUUUUGUUGUUGUUGUUGUUGUUGUUGGGUGAGAAAAGAAAAUGGGAAAAGGAGGAUCAAAAGGACAACAUGAAAUCCAAAAGAAAGAGAAAUUGAAAAUUGUUUGUCUUGGAAGCCCAGCUGUGGGGAAGACUUCUUUUCUGUUAACAUUGACAACAAAAGAAUUCCCAGCGGAGUACAUUCCCACCACUGCACAUGAUUUUGUAAUUAAACACUUAACAGAAGACAAGGACCAUGUGGAACUCUCUUUUCAUGAUACCGGUGGUCAUGAGGAAUAUGACAGACUUAGACCUCUCGUUUACCCUGAUACAGAUGUUUUUAUUAUUAUGAUGUCGAUAACAGAUAGAAUAUCACAAACUGAUGUUGGCGAUCGUUGGGUUCCUGAAGUAAUAAAGUACAACCCGGAAACACCUAUUAUCUUUUUGAGUACAAAAAAUGAUUUAAGAGAGGAUCAGGAAGCCA
rnacentral:ribozyme from 13 species